rnacentral:rRNA from 1 species
CCUACGGGUGGCAGCAGUGAGGAAUAUUGGUCAAUGGGCGCGAGCCUGAACCAGCCAAGUAGCGUGAAGGAAGACUGCCCUACGGGUUGUAAACUUCUUUUAUAAAGGAAUAAAGUGAGGCACGUGUGCCUUUUUGUAUGUACUUUACGAAUAAGGAUCGGCUAACUCCGUGCCAGCAGCCGCGGUAAUACGGAGGAUCCGAGCGUUAUCCGGAUUUAUUGGGUUUAAAGGGAGCGUAGAUGGGUUGUUAAGUCAGUUGUGAAAGUUUGCGGCUCAACCGUAGAAUUGCAAUUGAUACUGGCAGUCUUGAGUACAGUUGAGGUAGGCGGAAUUCGUGGUGUAGCGGUGAAAUGCUUAGAGAUCACGAAGAACUCCGAUUGCGAAGGCAGCUUACUAAACUGCCACUGACAUUGAUGCACGAAAGUGUGGGGAGCAAACAGGAUUAGAUACCCUAGUAGUC